CGGGAUGGGUGAGUAACGCGUGGGUAACCUGCCUCAUACAGGGGGAUAACGGUUAGAAAUGACUGCUAAUACCGCAUAAGCGCACAGUACCGCAUGGUACGGUGUGAAAAACUCCGGUGGUAUGAGAUGGACCCGCGUCUGAUUAGCUGGUUGGUGAGGUAACGGCCCACCAAGGCGACGAUCAGUAGCCGACCUGAGAGGGUGACCGGCCACAUUGGGACUGAGACACGGCCCAG
rnacentral:rRNA from 1 species